UACAGCGGUCUCAAGCGUUGUUCGGAUUCAUUGGGCGUAAAGGGUGCGUAGGUGGCGCGCUAAGUCAGGUGUGAAAUUUCGGAGCUUAACUCCGAAACUGCAUUUGAUACUGGCGUGCUUGAGGACUGGAGAGGAGACUGGAAUUCAUGGUGUAGCAGUGAAAUGCGUAGAGAUCAUGAGGAAGACCAGUGGCGAAGGCGGGUCUCUGGACAGUUCCUGACACUGAGGCACGAAGGCCAGGGGAGCAAACGGG
rnacentral:rRNA from 1 species